rnacentral:tRNA from 1 species
UGUACUUUAAUGUAUAUUGCAUAUAAAAUUUUGAAUUUUAAAGUAUUAAGAAUAUUAAUAAGUAUAA